GACAGAGGGUGCAAGCGUUGUUCGGAAUUACUGGGCGUAAAGCGCGUGUAGGCUGCUCAGUAAGUCGGAUGUGAAAGCCCUGGGCUUAACCUAGGAAGUGCAUUCGAAACUUCUGAGCUUGAGUUCUGGAGAGGAAGGCGGAAUUCUCGGUGUAGAGGUGAAAUUCGUAGAUAUCGAGAGGAACACCGGUGGCGAAGGCGGCCUUCUGGACAGUGACUGACGCUGAGACGCGAAAGCGUGGGGAGCAAACAGG
rnacentral:rRNA from 1 species